GGAGGGAAACGGUGCAAAACAAAGGCUAUUCAGAUCUCUUAGGCAUUAGGAAACAGAAGCUACUGCAAAGAAAGGUCAGAGUUUUGUCAGGCCUCUGAGCCGAAGCUCGGCCAUUAUAACCCCUGUGACCUGCACAUAUCCGUCUAGAUGGCCUGCAGGAGCCAAGAAGUCUGGAGCAGCCAAAGAAAAACUACAAAGAAGUAAAACAGCCAGUCCCUGCCUUAACUGAGUAAAAUUACAAUAUUUUACUAUCGUGACUUGUCCCUGCCCUAUCUUAGUUGAUCAUUUGACUUUGUGACAUUCUUCUUCUGGACAAUAAGUCUUAUGAUCUCUCCACCAUGUACCUUGCAACCCUCUCCUCUGCUAACAGUAAAUAACUACCUUUUAUUGUAAUUUUCCAUUACCUACCCAACUCCUAUAAAGCAACCGCUUCCCCAUCUCCCUUCGCUGACUGUCUUUUCGGACUCAGCCCACUUGCACCCAAGUGAAUAAACAGCUUUAUUGCUCACGCAAAGCCUGUUUGGUGGUCUCUUCACACGGACGUGCUUGACAUUAUUAUUACUCAAAUCAGUCUCCCCAAUUAUUUGGGAACAGAGUCUUUUGUUUG
rnacentral:lncRNA from 1 species